CGAAAGUGCAGGGAGAAGACCGAGAGAAAGUAUAAAAUAAGAUAUCAAAAAAGGAGAAACCGGAAUAGAAAUCAAGCUCCAGAAAGCCGUCGGAAGUGGAAAUGCAGGGAGGCCUCAGGGCAUAUUAGAAAAGGCUCAGAAUCGGGAGCAAGAGAAGCAAAGACAGUGGGGAAUUUGUUCUGCAGCAACAAUGGAUUCCAGGGCAAUAGUGGCCACAGUGACAAGCAUCUUGCUGUUCUCCGCAUGGUUGAAGCUUGGUUGCCUCUAUGUUAAUGUCCAGCCAGCAAGGAAGGAAAAGAGUGCAACGGAGACCCACCCAUGUUCUUGAGGCUCAGGCCAGAAGCAGCACACGUCACUUCUUCUCAUAUUCCACUGCUAACUGCAAGGGGGGCUAGUUACUGAGGAGGGGAAAUUGGCUACUGGUGGACAAUUAGCAUUUUCUUCAAUAAUAUCAUAAUUUUGAAGGAAUGGGUCAAAUGGUGCAAAUUUGAAGCACAGUGGUAGGUAGGUGAAAAACUUACUUUUUUGUGUUUGUGUGUGAGGACGACUGGCCCUGAGCUAACAUCUGUCGCCAAUCCUCCUCUUUUUUGCUUGAGGAAGAUUGUCGCUGAGCUAACAUCCAUGCCAGUCUUCCUCUGUUUUUUGUAAGAUGCCAACACAGCACGGCUUGAUGAGCAGUGCUAGGUCCACACCUGGGAUCUGAACCUACGAACCCUGGGCCUCCAAAGCAGAGUGUGCGAACUUAACCGCUACACCACCAGGCCAGCUCCAGAAAACUUACAUUUUUGAGGAUGAAGGUGAUUCAGAGCCUUUCAAUUUUUUAAAUUUAUACUUAAGAUGAUAUUGUUAAAGGGUACAUAACAUGGUAUAGUCAUACUACAGUACGUAACAUGACAUGGCACAUAAUAUGGAUAUAGUCAAAGGGAACAACCAGCAGUAGGGGGAGACCUGGAUUUGCAUUUAGGCUCUGGUGUGUUCUAACUUUCUAUUUCUCUUGGCCUCAGUUUCCUUCUUUGUAAGAUAGGGAUUAUAAUAACUACCUGAUUCGAUUGGUGCAAGGAUUCAAUGAAUUAAGUUAUGGGACCAGAACAGUCCCUGGUGCAUGUUAGAUGCUCAGUUAUGAUUGAGGCUGCUUUAUAGGGCAGUGUGCUGGAGUGUGAACAGGAGACGAGGAGUUUAUUCUUCCACUUACUAGCUCUGGAAAUUUGGGAAAGUCCCUUCACUUUUCUGGGUCUUGGGAGCUUCCUCUGUUAAAAGGGACAAUACACAAUGGACUACUACUCAGCCAUAAGAAAUCAUGAAAUCCGGCCAUUUGUGACAACAUGGAUGGACCCUGAGGGUAUUAUGCUAAAUGAAAUAAGUCAGAAGGAGAAAGUCAAAUACCAUAUGAUCUCACUCAUAAGUAGAAGAUAAAAACAACGAAAAACACAUAGCAACAGAGAUUGGAUUGGUGGUUACCAGACGG
rnacentral:lncRNA from 1 species